AUUGAACGCUGGCGGCAGGCUUAACACAUGCAAGUCGAGCGAGCGGCGGACGGGUGAGUAAGGUCUGGGAAACUGCCUGAUGGAGGGGGAUAACGACUGGAAACGGUAGCUAAUACCGCAUACCAUCAGAUGUGCCCAGAUGGGAGUAGCGAGUAGGUGGGGUAAUGGCUCACCUAGGUGACGAUCCCUAGCUGGUCUGAGAGGAUGACCAGCGCCACUGGAACGGAUACACGGUCCAUACUCCUACGGGAGGCAGCAGUGGGGAAUAUUGCACAAUGGGCGCAAGCCUGAUCCAGCUAUGCCGCGUGUGUGAAGAAGGCUUUCGGGUUUUAAAGCACUUUUUGCGGGGAGGCGUUACUCGCAGAAUAAGCACCGGCUAACUCCGUGCCAGCAGCCGCGGUAAUUC
rnacentral:rRNA from 1 species